GGUGUGAACAAAAGAGGAGACCAUUCUCCUCUUGGGUGAGAGACCUAGAACUAUUCUAGAUUUUUGGGUGAGGAAAAAAUCAAAGAGAAGAGAGUCUUCAUUAAAUUUUUUUUACCAUCCAGUAUCUUUCUCUGAUCCAUCUUCGACAUCAGAAAGGUUUGAGAUGAUCAAAGAAGAAGAUCAAGUCAGAUCUACCAUCAGAAGUCGACUGCGUGAGCU
rnacentral:lncRNA from 1 species